AGCUUUGCAUAGUGGCAUAUCAUAGCCAAUGAGGUUUAUCUGAGGCAUUAUUAUUGCUAACAGAAUUACAGCUGACUUCUCAGCACAAACUCUCAAGUCAAGAAGAGCUUGGAGCGAAGUAUUUCAAGUUCUAAAGGAA
ensembl:snRNA U4 U4 spliceosomal RNA